rnacentral:rRNA from 1 species
GUCCACGCCGUAAACGAUGUCAACUAGCCGUUGGUCCUUUUUAUAGGAUUAGUGGCGCAGCUAACGCAUUAAGUUGACCGCCUGGGGAGUACGGCCGCAAGGUUAAAACUCAAAUGAAUUGACGGGGGCCCGCACAAGCGGUGGAGCAUGUGGUUUAAUUCGAUGCAACGCGAAGAACCUUACCUACCCUUGACAUCCAGAGAAUCUGUGAGAGAUCGUAGAGUGCCUUCGGGAGCUCUGAGACAGGUGCUGCAUGGCUGUCGU